CGUGUAGGUGGUUUGGUAAGUUGGGUAUGAAAUCUUCUGGCUUAACUAGGAGAGGUUGCUCAAAACUGCCAGGCUAGAGGACGAUAGAGGAAGGUGGAAUUCCCGGUGUAGUAGUGAAAUGCGUAGAUAUCGGGAGGAACACCAGUGGCGAAGGCGGCCUUCUGGGUCGUUCCUGACACUAAGACGCGAAAGCAUGGGUAGCAAACAGGAUUAGAUACCCUGGUAGUCC
rnacentral:rRNA from 1 species